rnacentral:lncRNA from 1 species
UUUCACAAUACAACAAACCCUAAACACCCUAUUCCUUUGGAAGUGUGUGGGUAGUAGAACCCCCACCCCCUGUUCGAAAUAACAUUCUGAUCAACCAAGUUCCUGGGUAUGGUUGACUAACUUGGAACGGGUAAUGUAUUGUAACAAACCGAGCAAACCAAAGGUUGUUAGGUUAUACGGAUUUGGAACUUGCUGUCUGAAGUAGCUGGAGUGGUCAUGGGUCGUGCUGAUUGGAUACGAAUAAUGGAUUUAUUGAUUUUACACAUUUAAGCUGAAACAGUUAAUUAUGUUUUCUUUUAUUUGCUUCCGCUGAACAUGUUGAUUUCCUUUUAAACUUAUUGACAGUACUUUUCAGAAUAACUGAUGAUUUUAUUCAACAUUAUGAUUGGUUCAAUAUGAUUGGUGGCUCGUUAUUGGUUUGUCACACGCCUGACAGGGACACUCCCUAGGUGGUAUUUUGG